AAAAUCUGCCCAGCUAGAACCCAGGUGUAAGAAAUAUAGCACAGAGAGCAAUGUGGGUUCACCUGAUGCAGCCUAUUAUGAUCAGCUCCCCUCCAGGUGUGUUGAAUCAGGUUCUCCAGCAAGCUGAGAAAGGCCCAUUUGGAAGCAGGUGGAAUGGCCUUUGUAAGAACAUACAUGAAAUCACACAGACUAGAAAUGGAAUGAUCCACCCAUCUCUACUAAAAACUAUUCCGUUUAAGACACGAGUUAAGAAACUCUAGAAACUCCAUCAAGUGUCAAGUCCCAACUGAAAGACUCAUUCGGUGAAUUGUUCGGGGACCAAGACCUUAGAAUAGCAAUGAACCAGCAAUCUUGCAGAUGCCAAUGUGGGUAUCUUCAUGGUGACAAGCCAAAACAUAGCUUUUUCUAAAAAAACCAAAAAAAACCCUCCAGUAUUAAUUUAUGCAUGCGCAUGGUUUAAAAUUAUUGCAGCUUUUUUAAUGGUUUUAACUGUCACUAUGUUUAAUAUAUGUUUACCUUGUUUAGAUUAUUUAUGAUUUUACUCUGGAAGUGUUUUAAAUUGCACAUCACCCUAAGAUCCCAUGAUAAAUAC
rnacentral:lncRNA from 11 species